UACGUAGGGGGCGAGCGUUGUCCGGAUUUAUUGGGCGUAAAGAGCUCGUAGGCGGUUUGGUAAGUCGGGUGUGAAAUCUCCACGCUCAACGUGGAGGGGCCACUCGAUACUGCCAUGACUCGAGUCCGGUAGAGGAGUGUGGAAUUCCCGGUGUAGCGGUGAAAUGCGCAGAUAUCGGGAGGAACACCCGUAGCGAAGGCGGCACUCUGGGCCGGAACUGACGCUGAGGAG
rnacentral:rRNA from 1 species